ACUGAAAACAAUAUGGGAAGUUGAUG
rnacentral:sRNA from 1 species